GCCCAGACAAAUGGCCUGGUGGGCCCCCAGCCCAGGGAUCUGAUCCUUCUGCUUAACCUUUUUUAAAGUUCUCUAUGGCUUAACUUUCUCCAGCUCAGCUUCAGCCCCAGUUCUCCCCUUCCUAAUGGGCCCCACUGGCUUUGAAAUAAAUCACAUCAAGCUACACAGCAAGUGCGACUGUAGAGUGAGUACUCACUAGCUCCCAGAUGCCGUGCCUGGGAUGCUGUGCAUUGGCCCAAGAUGCCAUCAGCUCCUUACAAUAACACAUAUGAUCAUCACCCUCAUUUCAAAUACAACAACUCUGAGACACAGAAACGUCAAGAAAGUUGCCCAAGACUCCACAGCAGAAAGUGACAGAGUCAAGAAUUGAACCCCAAUCAUCCACCCUGGAGUUCAAGCUCUUCCCCGGGGCUGGUGGGAUGGGUGGUGGGUGGAAGAGCUGGCUCAUGCUGGUGAGGUGAGCUGGUGGGUUGAUGAUAGAUGUGGGGUUGGGUUAGGCUGGUGGCUUGGAUGGGUGGGUUGGAUGGUAUGUGGGAAGGUGGCUGGGUAAAGUGGUUGGUGUGUUGGUUUGGGUAAAUUAGGGCUGGAUAGUUGGGUGGUUGGACAGGAUGAAUGGAUGUGGGACUCAGUGGCCCUAGAGCACGGCACAAAUUUCCUAACCUCCAAAUCUUGCCUUUGCCAUUCUUCCCACUGAGAGUUCCCUCCCUCCACUUCUCCCUUUUUCUCACUCCCCUCUCAGGUCUCAGCCAAACUCUUGUACCACAUUAUGCAACCAGUGCAAAAAGCAAGUUCAGCCCUGCAACAGCCUAGGCCAUUCCUGUUGGUACCACUCAGCUCGCACCUAUCAUCUGCUGUGUCCAGCCACUGUUACUUCUGCUUAACAAAUGAGACUGGAAGCUCCUGAGGGCAGGCAGCACGCCACAUCCAUCACCGUAUGGGCAAUGGUGCUUCUUUGUGCCAGAUUCCUCCUCCAUGGAGCAUCAUCAGCUACACGCCUCCAAGCUGCAGAAAGUGAGCUCGGCUACAAAAGCCACACAAGUUGGCACACAGCAGGGACAUGGCCUGGGACAGAGACAAGAAGCUCCAGGGGCUCCUAUCAGACCCAGAGUCCAGCGUGGAAGGCAGAGCCUGGGACAGGGGACUUCUAGGCCGGGGUUUCUGGCAGCCUUCCACAAGGCCAGUAGUCACCCGACCCUGGCUAGCUGGGGCCCCUGGCUCUCCAUUCUCCUCUGCUGGUGACAUUCACUGCGGCCCCCUUCCUACAUGCUGCCAUGAUGCCCCUCCUGUUUGUUUACCCUCUUGUGGGGACAGUAGGGGGGCAUUGGAAGGAGAACCAGCCUCCCCAUAUCAAGGCAAAUAUGUUCCCAGCUAAUUGGUAUUUGCAUGGCAAAUCCCGGGUAAAGACGUGAUCAUUUGCAUGUUCUAAGAGUAA